GGAGAUGUGGCCGAGUGGUCGAAGGCGCUCCCCUGCUAAGGGAGUAGGCCCGGAAGGGUCUCGAGGGUUCGAAUCCCUUCGUCUCCG
rfam:Pseudoruegeria sp. SK021 NODE_1_length_528992_cov_50.4996, whole genome shotgun sequence.